ACAUACAAAAUCAGGUAUUCA
rnacentral:snRNA from 1 species